AGGUAUAAUCAAUUCCUCUAGUGAAUCAGAAAUCAUUCUGGACAAGAAAUCCAAACUUCAUCCACUCAAAAUCAGUGAAAGUUUGUGUUUCUUUAAAGUUGAAAUGUAAUGGACAUUUACUCAAAUCUGUGGAAGAGUGAUUGCUCACUGGUUCCUAUGCUUUGCAUGCAAGAGGCCUCAAGUGUUUCCAGAGAGGAGAUGAACAAAGAAACUUAUGUGAGAUAUUGCUUAUUGACCACUGCUGCUUUUUGCAAUACCUUAUCUGAGAAAAGUUCUGGAAAACAGCAGAACUUGAAAAUUUGCAAACUUGUUUGUUAUCAUUUGUGAGAUACAUUUCCCACUGUGAAAAGUGGUCUAGCAGCAAAACAACCAGCUAAUAAAGACUCCCUACCUCCACAAAA